CUGACUCACACAGAGGCAGCUUCCAGCCUUCCACAGUUCUUCCAAUUCGACACAGUUAUUUAUUUAUUUUUUUAAGGUCCAAACUCCUGUGCAGAGCAAGCAUCCAAAUGCUGUCAUCCUCUCAGCCCCAUGCUCUAGCUCAUUUUUCACACCACUGGAUUUAAUUUACUAUUAUCGUGCCUGGAAUGUGUUUGCAUCUGUAUUCUUGAGAGAUUGCUAUACAGCUCAUUUGAGGCCUCACAAGAUUAAAACUUGGUAAGAAAGUAGACACGGAAGUGUGUCUCUGUCCAGUUCCACCUAAACUGUGCUGGCAGAAACUUUGGCUCCUGCUGCUUAGCUCCUUCAGCGACCUGCGAGUCUGUCUCACGAAAAGAUACCGACCGCCAUCUUGAAUUUCUAAGCACUAAACACGAAGAGAUGUGAGUUUCUCAAAAGAUGCUUCAGACCCUCUGAGCCCCUUUGUCUGCGUGGAACGGGUCUCUAGUCGCGGGUGGACAAAGCGUAGGAUGAGUGACAAACAGACGCACACAGGAGAGGUCGAGGAAUCUGAAUGUCAUUUUUCAAAUCGAGCAUCAGACUUUUUAUGCAGAAGACAAUAAGGAAGUUGGAUGACAUACCUGCAAGGUACAAAUGAGCUUUCCCAGAUAUCUCUGAAGAUACCAUUUUGAAUAGGACUCACAUCACUCACUGCCUUGGAAAACAAAUUCGGGGGACCAAAGCAGAGACAAGCCACAGCAAGUAAACAAAGCUCUAGAGGAGAAGCGUUCCACUGCAGCCCCACGAAUCUGCAUGUCUAUCACACCCAGUGCCUGUAUCAUGGGUCUCUGGACUCUCCAGGGAUUUUCUGAAAGCCUGGUUGUUCUUCCAGAAGGGACAGAAGUGCCACUAGCAAGAAAAUCACCUCACCUGUGGCUCUCUAGGCCCCUAACCUAUACCCCUUUCCAAAUUGGAGAGUUUGAGAAAUCCUAAGACCAUGUCUGACUACAAAGUACCACUGUCUUGAGUUUGUAAUGCUCUUCUCUCUGGAUUGGAGCCAGGAUCCACCUCUGUGGGUGGGGAGAGCAGUGUGAAUUGUUUCCCAGAGAAACCCCACUUGGUUUCUUCUCUGUGUUGGACUCUUCAGGGUGGAGAUCACUCUGGCCAUGCAUAAUCAGAUUAACAUCAACGGUCCUUUACUCUGAAGAAGCCAUGGAGACCCCUCUUGCUGAUUAAGCCAGCUCAGGCUCCUGUGGAUGCUAUGGCCCUGGGCACUGAGCCCAGCAUCUGAACUUGUUCCUGGACCAGAGGUUCGAGAUGUCCACUUCUGAGGCCAUUUACUUCUUUGUGGGCCACCAGCUGUU
rnacentral:lncRNA from 1 species